ACACAAACUGAAACCGAAGAGCAACAGAUUAGAGAGCAUUUGUAGCGGCGCGCAUCCGUUUCCGGCAAAGGGUUUAGAUUCAAUUGUCUGAUUUAUCAUUCUUCUGAAAUAAAAACGAAACCUUGUUGAGAUUUGUUGUUCUCAGACAUAAAGUUCGUUGCUUUCCUCUCACUUGUCACUCAACUGGAUCUUGAUUCUGGUAAAGGUUCGAUUUUUAUUGUACUUUACGACUCUGCUUAACAGUAAUCUGAGUAUGUUCUAGCUAUUACAGGUUUUUCAGUUUUGGGUUUAUGUCCAACUCUUUGCCUGAUACAAUCAUUCUUGAUCUCCUACUUUGUAGGAACUUGGGAGUUCUUGAACUAAAACCGCUCCUCGUUUGUUUUUGGUGUAUAUAUGAAUGAAAUGGACACGAAAAGUUGUUCAAAAUCGAUCACUGUUUGUGAAAGUUCUAGUGGAUCUGUGCCUGAGGCUGUGAUUGUAGUCUCUGGUCUCAAUGGUGAGACCAGUGACUCUGUCUCAAACCAUGUAUUGAUCGAAGAGCAAAAAGAGAAUGAUUCAAGAAUGGGGAAAGAUGGUGUUGGAUGCAGUAACGUUUCAGCUCGCGAUGUUCACGAGGAAGUUGCAAAUAACGUUACUGCGGUAAGCUGUCACGAGAGUGAUGCUUCAGAAAAAGCAAAGGAGAAGGAGUUUCACGUGAUUGAUCUGAGCGGUGGAGGAGAAGAAAGUGAUAAUGGACAAAGAAUCUGCAGGAUCUGUCAUUUUGGUUCUGAUCAAACGCCGGAUAGAGUUUCUGGCAAGUCAGUAAGUGUAGACUUGAUUGAGAUUGGUUGCAAAUGCAAAAACGAGCUUGGUCUUGCGCAUUUUCAUUGCGCUGAAGCUUGGUUUAAGCUAAGAGGAAACAGGUAAAGUAUUCAGCUCCUCUUCAAGAUUCAGCAUAAAGUAUAAUCUUGGUAUAAACCUCUGUUUCUCUUCUUUGUAGUGUAUGUGAAAUCUGCGGUUCUUCAGCGUUGAAUGUUCCAGUAAGGUUGACGGAGGAGGAGUGGAGCGAAAUAAGGGACGGUACAACGGAUGAAGGAAGAAGACGUGGAAGUGGACAGUCUUGCUGCAUUUUCAUGGUUUUUCUGCUUACUAUCAUUCUGCUUCAUUGGUUUUUCAAGAAGAUGAGUGGUUACUACCAAAAUACAUAAAAUUAAUUUGUUAGUUAAUAAGCAUAUAUGUUUGUAACUUGUACAUCCUAUUAUGUACUAUAUUGAAACAGAAGAAGAUAGAAUACAGUACAAGUUUUAUAGAAUUUAAUAAAUGGUCAAGUCAGAGUUUUUUACUUUUAACUAGUAGAACAAAACCAUUUUCUGAAAUAUGUUUUAUAGCUUCAGACUUAAACAUAGUGUGUGUUUUUUACUUUUAAACAAUCAUUCAAUCAAGAAGGGCGUUCAUCUCAUCAUGUAUUCAUGUGUCCAUGCCUUACAUAUGGGCCAAUGUGGUUACAUGUGAUUAUAUCCCCAAACAUAAACGCAUGGCCGGUUUGGACAUGGACAAAUAAAAGCACAUGGUCCUCAAAAUUUUUAAAAAUAAUUUACAUAAGUAUAAGCUCUAAAUUUAUGAAGGAUAUUUUAUAUAGUAAUCGUCUAUGGUUCUCAAAUUUGUUAGAAAUAAUUUCACAUAAAUAUAAAUUCUAAAUUUUUAAAAGAAACAUUUUUUGUUAAUUUUUUAUUAAAUUAUUUAUAAUCUCUAAAAUUUAAGGACCAUAUGUUGUAUAAACAUUCUAUUGAUUGUUUUGAGUAAAUACCACAGCAACGUACAUAACUCUGAAUUGCAUGAUAGUUUAAGAACCGGAAAUUGAUCCAUACACUUGAUGACUAAUAAAUUAACAAUUUCCACAAAGGAAAGGUAAAAAAACCUUGCUUAUUAGACCAAGAAAAAGAAAUCUUGCCUUUUGCAAAAAAAAAAAAAAACCUUGCCUAGAGAUAUCAGAAGAUAUAUUGUGUUUGCAUGGGAUGAAUUGCGGGGCAAAUCUCCUUUGGCAGAGAAACAUUUUGCUUGCAUCUCAAGCAAUGCCAAAAUCAUCUGCCAUAAGAGUAUUCGUCCGGUAAUACAGCCAUACAUUGAUGAUCUCUCUUUCUUCACAACAUCUACAAUACUUUUUUAUGUCUUCUUACUGUUUCGCUCACUUUUAUCUGAGUUAUUGUAAACUCAUGCUGGACUAGCAAAGUAUAUAUAGUUGAAGAAAGUGUACAAGUAAAAGCAUAUUCUGUGGCAGAUCCCAUGUUUCAUAGAGCAUAUGUGUAUAGUAUAAUCCUAAAGACCAAUCAGAAUCAUUUUAAAUUUUAUUUUCGAAAAUUAAUUAAUUUAAAUUUUAACUAUCAUAAAAUAUAAUUACCAUUUUAAAUUAUUUUUUUUAUGAACGAAAAUUAAAAUCACAUAAAAUAUAUUUAAUUAUAUUUUAAUAAUAAUAAAAAUAAAUUAAUUAAUUUUAGGAAAUACAUUUUAUAAAUAUCUUAAAAAGAUUUUGUUAGAAAGAAAUAUCCAUUUCUAUUUCUAAUAAAAUAAAAUUAUAAAAUUAUCUAAAUCUUUGUAUUUCAAGUAAUUUUUCAAAUAAUAUUUUUACUUCGCAUGUAUAAUAUAUUACAGUUUCUUUUUAAAAAAAUAUUUUUUGGUUGUUUUUAACAAUAUCUUGAAAUAUGUUUUCUCUGUUAUGUAGGUCCAAUAUAAUUUGACUUUCAUAUACAUUUCAAAUUUAGAAAUAAAAUUGUAAAUUAUGUAAAAUAGUAUUGUUACAUAAUAACGUUUUCAAAAUAAAUUUUGUUACAAAAAUUCAUAGUAUCAACAAUAUAAGCCACUUAAAUAUAUGUAUUAUAGAGUUAUAUAAUACAUAUAAAUUACAUUAAUUUUGUGAUAAAUUUUGUUAUAUAAACUAAAAUAUUUUAGUAUAAAAAAAAAAUCUGCGGGUCAGGAUCUUGUAUAAAAUUAAUUUGCAUACUGUACUAGUUGCCAAUUUACUUUGUAUUUUUUAGGAUAAAAACUUUGUCACUUCACCACAUAAAUAGUGAAUUUCAUUUAAUUAAAAUGAAUUAAGAGUUGAUAAUAGUUGUUCUCAUCUUCCCCAAACAUUUUAUGUUAUUAUCUGUUAUCUAUUUUUACAUAGAAAAGGGUACCGAACUCUCGUGUGAGCUCAUCCUUAAAUGUUUUAAAGAAAGAGACUUUCAUUAACUCAAUAAAAUAUCUACGCAAUGGUAUUUUCGUUUAAACUGCCUAAAAUCUAGCUGAAGCGUCUUAUCAAAGAAGAAACACAAACUGAAACCGAAGAGCAACAGAUUAGAGAGCAUUUGUAGCGGCGCGCAUCCGUUUCCGGCAAAGGGUUUAGAUUCAAUUGUCUGAUUUAUCAUUCUUCUGAAAUAAAAACGAAACCUUGUUGAGAUUUGUUGUUCUCAGACAUAAAGUUCGUUGCUUUCCUCUCACUUGUCACUCAACUGGAUCUUGAUUCUGGUAAAGGUUCGAUUUUUAUUGUACUUUACGACUCUGCUUAAC
rnacentral:lncRNA from 1 species